UACAGAGGGUGCAAGCGUUAAUCGGAAUUACUGGGCGUAAAGCGUGCGUAGACGGUUAUGUAAGUCGGGUGUGAAAGCCCCGGGCUCAACCUGGGAAUGCCAUUCGAGACUGCAUAGCUAGGGUGCGGAAGAGGGAAGCGGAAUUUCCGGUGUAGCGGUGAAAUGCGUAGAUAUCGGGAGGAACACCUGAGGCGAGGGCGGGUUACUGGGCUGAUACUGACGCUGAUGCGCGAAAGCCAGGGGAGCAAACGGG
rnacentral:rRNA from 1 species